rnacentral:rRNA from 1 species
UUGGAGGGCAAGUCUGGUGCCAGCAGCCGCGGUAAUUCCAGCUCCAAUAGCGUAUAUUAAAGUUGUUGCAGUUAAAAAGCUCGUAGUUGAAUUUCGGGAUCAAUAUAUCGGUCGUGCCAUUGGUACGUACUGGUAUCAUUGGUUUCUCCUUUCUGACGAACCAUGAUGUCAUUAAUUUGGUGUCAUAGGGAAUCAGGACUGUUACUUUGAAAAGAUUAGAGUGUUUAAAGCAAGCUCACGCUUGAAUACAUUAGCAUGGAAUAAUGAAAUAGGACGUUUGAUUCUAUUUUGUUGGUUUCUAGGAUCAACGUAAUGAUUAAUAGGGAUAGUUGGGGGCAUUAGUAUUCAAUUGUCAGAGGUGAAAUUCUUGGAUUUAUUGAAGACUAACUACUGCGAAAGCAUUUGCCAAGGAUGUUUUCAUUAAUCAAGAACGAAAGUUAGGGGAUCGAAGACGAUCAGAUACCGUCGUAGUCUUAACCAUAAACUAUGCCGACUAGGGAUCGGAUGAUGUUAAUUUUUUAAUGACUCAUUCGGCGCCUUACGGGAAAC